UCAUGUGAUUCCUUCAAGUUAUCAACUCCUAGUAGGGAAGCUAAUUUGGAAAUACCAUUUUCUGUCUCUGACAUCAAGGAAACCUAUAAGGACGCAAAACUGUUACCAAACUGGAAGGCCUUCCAGACAACCAUAUUUCUUGAAAGGGAUGAUGGUCUUCAUGAUUCAAAGAAAAUUGCAGCAUUUGAUUUUGAUGGAUGUC